rnacentral:rRNA from 1 species
CCUACGGGGCGCAGCAGUGGGGAAUAUUGGACAAUGGGCGAAAGCCUGAUCCAGCCAUGCCGCGUGUGUGAAGAAGGCCUUCGGGUUGUAAAGCACUUUCAGUGGGGAAGAAAGCCUUGGGGCUAAUACCCUCGAGGAAGGACAUCACCCACAGAAGAAGCACCGGCUAACUCCGUGCCAGCAGCCGCGGUAAUACGGAGGGUGCGAGCGUUAAUCGGAAUUACUGGGCGUAAGCGCGCGUAGGCGGUCUGAUAAGCCGGUUGUGAAAGCCCCGGGCUCAACCUGGGAACGGCAUCCGGAACUGUCAGGCUAGAGUGCAGGAGAGGAAGGUAGAAUUCCCGGUGUAGCGGUGAAAUGCGUAGAGAUCGGGAGGAAUACCAGUGGCGAAGGCGGCCUUCUGGACUGACACUGACGCUGAGGUGCGAAAGCGUGGGUAGCAAACAGGAUUAGAUACCCGAGUAGUC